AGAAGAGCAACAAAUGACACCAGAGGAUUAUGACGAUGCAAACACUGCUGGUUGGAGACAUUGUGCUAAAGAUGACUUACAAGAAAACUAUGAUGUUGUCACUGUACCACAGUUCUCCAAUGAUAAAGCAGACUAUAAUGAUGUGGGGGAAGAGCCAGGAAAACAGCGAAGGACUGUGUAACUGAAAC